CAUGAGAAAGUAUAUUAAAGGGUCCCAGCAUUAGGAAGGUUCUAGCAUAACAGCAUGGUCAAACAGAACUCAGGCAGGACGCAGCCUCUCCCCAUGAGCUCCUCGGUGGUGUGGAUGUCUUAUGGAUGUGUUGCCAGGCUUUCCUUUUUCAGAUUUUCACAGCUUUGACCAAACCCUCCGACCACAGUGACUGAAUGCUUCCAAGGCAUUCCUUGCCUUCCUUGUUAUGUGAGUCUUCACCCCGAGCCGUCCAUCUUCACUGUGUUUUGCUGCAAUACCAAAGUAGUCAAAUCCCAGGCUUAUUUACAAAUGGCAUUCUUCAGCAUCAUGUGUCCUUCCAGAGAAGCCCAUGCCUUGAGAAUGCUGUGGUCAUUGCCAAGCAGGACAACUGAGGGUCAAAACAACAACCCGCAGAGCAUAAAGGUUCUGCUUGGGUGCAGCCCGUCACACCUGCUGGCACAAGCGAAUCACAAGGUGAAGUCUGAACGAGGGAGGAGGUAAAGGAGUGUAGCAGUCUUACAGGACGAGAGACCAGAAUUCCCAGUGAUAACAGAUAUGACACUACUCUGUCUUGGACAAACUAUUAAUUUCCCUGUAGGCAACAACUGUCACUAUCUUGAUUUAAAACACCCUCAAAUCCCUGCAGACUAUGCUAUCCUGUAGUUUUCUGAACGCAGUCUAUACCCAGUCACCUUGACAUAGACCUGCAAACACCACACCAGCAGCAACAACCCAAGUUAACUUUGGAGGAAAGUGGCACAGUGAAUGUCCCCAUGUGACAAAGCUAAUGAUGUUAGGAGGCACGCUCUAGCCCCGCACCGAGAGUCACCAUCCCAGGGGAGGUUCCUGGGUUUCUUUCUUCAGCUCUACUACUACACCUUCAAAGUUUUUGCAGUGAAGAUGAAUUCCUUAGCACACGUGAAGACCACUUUCCAAGCCAUCGGCCUGAUGUACAAAUCUGAAGCAGAACAUACUGUGUGAAGUCUUUCUUCUUGACUAAAGCAGAGACUCCAGGCUCCCCGUGUGGUGUGGUGAUACACAGCAAGGUCAACGGACUGAGUGAACACAGAUAGCAAUUUGGACAUUCAGAGCCUCUCCAAGCAGUGAUUGACUACACAGAGAGAUCCAGCCAGAAGUGGCCCCCACCCGCCCCUCGCUGACCUUCACUUGGAAACUUACUGACUGGAUAGUUUUGUUAAGCUACAUUUUCCUGUGUCCCUUUACUUGGACCAUAGAAACUUUGAACGUUGGCUUUUCACUGGAUCAAAAUGUUGGAAGACCUCUGAAUGGUAAGCUCAUUUUAAUGACAUUCUGAAUGGAAAUGAGGAAGAUGUUGGAAGCAAGAGGGAGGGCACCUUCUUGUUAAAAGAAGGCAAAGGCCUCAGCUGAAUUGUGUCUCUACCUUAGUGCUUUGUGGACAGCAGAAGGUAAGGACAAUGAGAAACCACCUGGUGAUAUUAGUCUACUUAUUCAUCAUGAUCCCAAAUGGGUCAAGAUACAGCACUUGUUUGGGGAGUAGUUUAGUUAGUUCUUUGAUGCCAUGAUAAAUAACAUGAUCAAAAGGAAAUCGGGGAAGAAAGGGUUCAUUUCAUCUCACAUUUCUAGUUCAUCACUGAGUGAAUUGAGAGCAGUCACUCAAGAUAUGGGCCUGGAUGUAGAAACUUAAAACAGAAACCAUGGAUGAGUGCUUACUGGCUUGCUAGCUCUUUGGCAUCUUCUCAACUACCUUUUGUACAUAGUCCAGGACCACCUCUGUAGGAAUGGUACCACCCACACUGGGCUGGGACCUUCUAUCUUAAUCAUUAAUCAAGAAAAUGCCUCACUGAUAUGCCAUGGGCCCAUCUGAGGAAGGCAGUUCCUGGCAACUCUGGUUGUGUCAGCUGGCAAUAAAGACUUGUCAGCAUAGUGAGUCUUUCAUGUUUAGUUCACCAACUCUGGAAGUCCCCUCACAGGCACGCCCACAGGUUGACUUUACUAACCCUCAAGUCUCUCCGCAAGGUUAAGAACACAUAGCUCCUGAGGUUGAAGAGUCCUUUUCACUAUCAUCCCUGGCUCCUGGCUUAUAUCCUGCUACAGAGCAAGAUAUUGCAUGCAAUUCAGCUGUCACAUGGAGUUCCAAGCAGAAUCAGGCAGGAGAGGAAAGCAAAAACCAUCUGUAAGCCACUGUUUGACAGACCCUCACCUAGUGUUCACCUUGCAGCCCCUAACUGAAUAGCAGGGCUUCAUCUGACUACAAGAAAGCCUGCCUGUUUGUUUGUUUUAAAGCCAGGCGUUUUGCAAUUCAAAUAAAAUCAGGUCUGUGUCAUUAAAGACAGACGAUGCUUGUCUUGUCGUGGGAGUGAAGCUGUUUGAGGAGUGACCACUGCUGUCGAUGUGAGAGGAGCAAAUGUGGCAUUUGCAAAGAGGGACACUGAGAAGCUGAGUUCAGGCAGAAGUAGAGGGGAUGAGAAGGAAGGGCAGAAAGGAGUAUUGGCAGAGGGGCGGCAAGACCACAAUAGGUUUUAUUCCUUACACUGGUUCAAGAACACAAGUUCCCUUUGACUUAAGUCUACAAACGCCCAUUCUAUUGAAUUCAAUGUCAUUAUGCUAAAUUUAGUUGGUAAAUAUUGAAAUAAACGAAAGGCAGGAAAACGGUGCUUCAAAAUCUAAAUACAAUUCUUAGAUGUACUUCUGGAAGUAUUCGUGUCACCUCAAGGCUCCAUUUCUCAAAGACAGAGGAAGGUAGAAGACAUUAGUUAAUAAGUACAGAAUAUCUUUCUAAAAAUAAGUACAGCUACUCUUUGCUUAUAAACACCCAAGACAUAUAUGAGUCUCAAUGUCAGAAAAUAACUCCGAGGAAACCCUAAGGAUACUCUCUCUAUCUUCAUGCCAGAAGCCAUCUGCCUUUCCUGAAGAUAUUCCAAGAGUCGUUUAAACUUAGCAUUUUUCUUCUUCCCAUUCCAUAUUUCUAAAAGACAACUUGAACUGCUUUGAGUGUACCCGUUUUAUCUUAAGGAAAUUAGGUUGCCAAAAAACCAUAUCUAGAAAUCUAACCACACACACACACACACACACACAC